rnacentral:lncRNA from 1 species
AUUUGAGCGUCGGAGGAUCCUUACUAGAACAACCUCCAAUUGGGACUUCUCUUGCAGGUUCCAUCCUGGUCGGCCCAGCACACCACCAACACCAACUGCUUCGACGUCAGGCGGAGAUCAUCGUCAAUGUACAUCACAAGUUCUCACUCUCGUCUUUGGCCAUCUUGCUGUCCUCUCUCCGAUGGACGGACUCUUUUCUCAGCUUUUUAUUGCACAGUAAUUAGACGUAGCUACUC